UUUAAUGAAGAACCCUGAUCUAUGAUUGUCAGACAACGUACUGGCACCCACCUUAAUCAGACCAUGAAUCUUUAGAUUUGAUCAUCCAUGAUUCCGAUCUAGCCAUGAUUUGAUUUGAUCAUGUUGAUUUCACCAAUUGAGAUAUUGUACCAAUCGUAAUGUUGGAUUGUGUCACCUGAUCAAUUUGAAUUGUACCUCAUGAAUUCUCUCUCCUCUGAUUUUCUCUCUCCACUUGAUUUUAUGAAAUCGAUGAAGAAAUCUCGGUCCUAUCACUUCGAAUCUGAUUUGAUCUGAUAGUCAAAUUUUGGAUCGUUUAGAUCCUAAUUAGAUUUUGAUUAGAUGAAAUUAGAUGAUCGGACCCAAUCUAAACCGUUGAAAUAUGGUAUUUGUAUUCUUUCUAAUUAUUGAAAUUGAUUCUGUAUAGGAUUGUGGAUGUUUGAUCAUGGGAUAUCGCGAUAUGAUUUAUGAAUAAAAUUUUUGAAAGAAAAUUUAUAGAAUUAUGUGGAUUUAUUGAAAUACGUUCGAGGUAAGUAAUGUUUCAUUUUUUCUAGAUUUAUCGAUAAAUUAUAAUAUAUUUUUUUGAUAUGAUUUGUGAAAUGAUGCAUGAAUUGGAUGAAUGAUAUCUUGUUAUGAAAAUAUCUUAUUUAAAAUGUUAUGAUGAAGCAUGAUUGAACAUAUUGAUUUCAUGAUGCAUUAUAUUGAUUGAUUUCGAUACUACAUGAUUAUAUGUUUUAUUAUCGAAAUUAGAAU
rnacentral:lncRNA from 1 species